GGAUUCCCCUAGUAACGGCGAGUGAAGAGGGAAAAGCCCAGCACCGAAGCCUGCGGCAGUUUUGCUGUUAGGCAAUGUGGUGUUUGGGUCGGCUCGCGGGAUUGCCACUCCACUCGAAGUCCAGCAUUGAGUAUGGUCACUGGAAUUGGCCCAGAGAGGGUGAAAGGCCCGUACGGGUGGAGGUUCAGAAAUGUAAGGCAAUUCACCAGGCCGGCCUUAGAGUCGGGUUGUUUGAGAAUGCAGCCCAAAGUGGGUGGUAAACUCCAUCCAAGGCUAAAUACAAGCACGAGUCCGAUAGCGAACAAGUACCGUGAGGGAAAGUUGAAAAGUACUUUGAAGAGAGAGUAAACAGUACGUGAAACCGCAUGCAGGUAAACGGGUGGCGUCAAGCUGCGAACCCAGAGGAUUCAGCUGGCUAGGAUGUUGUGAUGCGCCUGGCGCAUCCAUCAGUCGGAAUAAGAUGUGAUAGUCCACUGGGAGACGGUGGGCCCGGCCGUAAGGUUGGGAUAUGUGUACCGGGUGUUAGCCGGAGCAUGCUAUUCAUCUGUUGGGCUGUCUAGUCAGUGCACUUUCUCUGUGGUGAACACCACGACCGGUGGAAUUGCCAGUCUGCUGUAGUCAAGUCUUGCUGAGAGGGUCCUUGUGGCCAACUUGGUAGGAUCACAGGCAAUGUCAGUGAACGGCGUAGGANUGCCUUUGGUGUUCCUGCGUGAUAUCGGCCACUGCUUGUCAACGGGCCUGCUCGGCGGUUGUUGUAACUGCUGCUGGGUGGUCUGGUGGGCUAUGGUGGUAAUAAAAACUGUGCAAGGCACCGGAGAUGUCGGCCUCAAAUGCACUCUGCACUGGCAUGUUACAAGUGCGAGGGGGUGCCAUUGCGAUCCGCCUGUUGUUGAGUCUGAUUGUCGUGUCGCCUGCGCAAAGUGGGCCCGGCAGUGGCUUGAUGCAGGAUGGGCCGUGGAUGGUGUCUCUCAGGUGUAGGGUGCGGUGGGCCCAAU
rnacentral:rRNA from 1 species